UAUUAUAUAUUAAUAAAUUAAAAUGAAAAAAAUAACAAGAAAAUUCCCCGUGGGGAAACCUGCCCUCCCCGAUCCCGAACCCUUGUGGGCCGGGGACGGGAGGAUCGAUCCCUGCUCUUGACCCGCCCCAUUGCCAUUCCUAGUUGCAACCCAAUUAGAAUAUUUUUUGAGGUAUGUAGUGGUAGCAGAGGAUGUAGAGGACACAGUCUGAUAGGCUUGCAGGAAAUAGUGCGAUAAUGUUUUGAUAAAUUUGGGAAACACAUUGGGGUUAGAAAUUGAGAAUUCUGAAUGAUUGUAUCGUGCUUUUUUUCACUAUAUUGGAAGUUUUUCUCUUGUCUUGCCCCAUGGAUAUAGACCUUAUGGUCGGAUCACGUAAAUCUUGUGUCUAUUAUUCUUCUCUUCUUUAUAUAUUGUGUGAUCGUGUGUGUACCUUAUUUUUGCAUGCCAGUUUUAACAUUUUCUUGUUCUAAUUAUUAUUGUUGUUCCUUUUGGUAUUGCUGCCUGACUACGAUAGAGCACACAAUUUUAGAAUUCGCACUUUAUUUCUUUUCUUGAUGAGAUGCGGAAAGGUGGUCAAAUUUUUAACUCUUCCUCAGAAUGGAUGACAUUCUAUUGUCCUCUUCUAUGUGGUUGGCUCUCUUUUGUUUCUUUGUUCUUUUGACAAGUUUGUCCAGGUCCAAUUUUCUAAGCUGUAAUUGGUCAUCCACACAAACUGUGAUCAAUUUUACAAUUUCCUGAUUUCACUACUCCACAGGCUGGGCAGGACUAUUUUGUCCUUGUGUUCUAUUUGGAAGAAAUGUUGAAAGCUUGAGAGAUGAUACCCCUUGGACUAGACCAUGCAUUUGUCAUGCCAUUUGUGUUGAAGGUGGAAUGGCACUGGCAGCAGCAACAGCAAUCUUCCAUGGUGUUGACCCAAGGACAUCAUUUCUAAUUUGCGAGGGUUUACUUUUUGCUUGGUGGAUGUGUGGCAUAUACACUGGUCUUGUUCGGCAAUCACUGCAGAGGAAAUAUCACCUGAAGGUAAGCCUGAGUUUUCUCUAAAUAGCACAUUUUUAUGUUGGCAAAAUGCUCCUGCAGGUGUAAAAGAAUAUUAGUUCUACAUUUGUAGAUCCAUAGAUGCACAGAAGAUUAGUGCUUAAUGCUUCGUUGCAUAUUUUAUAGAAGCACGUGGUUGUUUGAGAGUUGUUAAAUAUGGGAGUUUUGGAGGUAAGGAGAAGGAUAGAGUUUUGUGCUAGAGGUAAGCACUUUAAAGAACUUCCAUGCAUACCAGUCUAUCUGCCUGCUGAUACCACCCAAGCAUGUGGGAGAGACCAAAUGAGAGGAAGACAGUGCAAAAUGUUAUGGUUUUUUUCUUUAAUAAUAGAUUGGUGUCAUAUUAGUUAUGCCAUAGCCAAGCAAAAGUCUUGCAAAUAUGCUAAUGUGGUUGAGAUCCUGCUGCAAUUUAUAGUUUGCCAUUUAAUUAGCAUGAUGUGAUUUAAAUUGUUGUGAUGGAAUGGAAAAAGAGAAUCCAUAUAGCCAACCCAAUAAAUUUUUAG
rnacentral:misc_RNA from 1 species